rnacentral:rRNA from 1 species
UAGGGACUCUUCCGCACUGGACGAAAGUCUGACGGAGCAACGCCGCGUGAGUGAAGAAGGUUUUCGGAUCGUAAAGCUCUGUUGUUAGGGAGGAAGAAGAGACAGAGGCACUGCUUGAACCUUGACGGGAGCAAAACCGCAAGCCACGGAUCAAUACGAGCCGGCAGCAGCGGUGAUACGUAGGAGGCCAGCGUUGUGAGGAAUUAUUGGGCGUAAAGGUCUCGUAGCCGCAGUCUUUGGUCUGAUGUC